rnacentral:lncRNA from 1 species
CCCGCUCCUCCGCCCGACCGCGCGCUCGCCCCGCCGCUCCUGCUGCAGCCCCAGGGCCCCUCGCCGCCGCCACCAUGGACGCCAUCAAGAAGAAGAUGCAGAUGCUGAAGCUCGACAAGGAGAACGCCUUGGAUCGAGCUGAGCAGGCGGAGGCCGACAAGAAGGCGGCGGAAGACAGGAGCAAGCAGCUCGAGGAGGACAUCGCGGCCAAGGAGAAGUUGCUGCGGGUGUCGGAGGACGAGCGGGACCGGGUGCUGGAGGAGCUGCACAAGGCGGAGGACAGCCUCCUGGCCGCCGAAGAGGCCGCCGCCAAGGCUGAAGCCGACGUAGCUUCUCUGAACAGACGCAUCCAGCUGGUUGAGGAAGAGUUGGAUCGUGCCCAGGAGCGUCUGGCAACAGCUUUGCAGAAGCUGGAGGAAGCUGAGAAGGCAGCAGAUGAGAGUGAGAGGCAUGAAAGUCAUUGAGAGUCGAGCCCAAAAAGAUGAAGAAAAAAUGGAAAUUCAGGAGAUCCAACUGAAAGAGGCCAAGCACAUUGCUGAAGAUGCCGACCGCAAAUAUGAAGAGGUGGCCCGUAAGCUGGUCAUCAUUGAGAGCGACCUGGAACGUGCAGAGGAGCGGGCUGAGCUCUCAGAAGGCAAAUGUGCCGAGCUUGAAGAAGAAUUGAAAACUGUGACGAACAACUUGAAGUCACUGGAGGCUCAGGCUGAGAAGUACUCGCAGAAGGAAGACAGAUAUGAGGAAGAGAUCAAGGUCCUUUCCGACAAGCUGAAGGAGGCUGAGACUCGGGCUGAGUUUGCGGAGAGGUCAGUAACUAAAUUGGAGAAAAGCAUUGAUGACUUAGAAGAAAGUGGCUCAUGCCAAAGAAGAAAACCUUAGUAUGCAUCAGAUGCUGGAUCAGACUUUACUGGAGUUAAACAACAUGUGAAAACCUCCUUAGCUGCGACCACAUUCUUUCGUUUUGUUUUGUUUUGUUUUUAAACACCUGCUUACCCCUUAAAUGCAAUUUAUUUACUUUUACCACUGUCACAGAAACAUCCACAAGAUACCAGCUAGGUCAGGGGGUGGGGAAAACACAUACAAAAAGGCAAGCCCAUGUCAGGGCGAUCCUGGUUCAAAUGUGCCAUUUCCCGGGUUGAUGCUGCCACACUUUGUAGAGAGUUUAGCAACACAGUGUGCUUAGUCAGCGUAGGAAUCCUCACUAAAGCAGAAGAAGUUCCAUUCAAAGUGCCAAUGAUAGAGUCAACAGGAAGGUUAAUGUUGGAAACACAAUCAGGUGUGGAUUGGUGCUACUUUGAACAAAAGGUCCCCCUGUGGUCUUUUGUUCAACAUUGUACAAUGUAGAACUCUGUCCAACACUAAUUUAUUUUGUCUUGAGUUUUACUACAAGAUGAGACUAUGGAUCCCGCAUGCCUGAAUUCACUAAAGCCAAGGGUCUGUAAGCCACGCUGCUCUUCCGAGACUUCCAUUCCUUUCUGAUUGGCACACGUGCAGCUCAUGACAAUCUGUAGGAUAACAAUCAGUGUGGAUUUCCACUCUUUUCAGUCCUUCAUGUUAAAGAUUUAGACACCACAUACAACUGGUAAAGGACGUUUUCUUGAGAGUUUUAACUAUAUGUAAACAUUGUAUAAUGAUAUGGAAUAAAAUGCACAUUGUAGGACAUUUUCUAA